rnacentral:rRNA from 1 species
AGUGAACGCUGGCGGUAGGCCUAACACAUGCAAGUCGAACGGCAGCACAGUAAGAGCUUGCUCUUACGGGUGGCGAGUGGCGGACGGGUGAGGAAUACAUCGGAAUCUACUUUUUCGUGGGGGAUAACGUAGGGAAACUUACGCUAAUACCGCAUACGACCUACGGGUGAAAGCAGGGGAUCUUCGGACCUUGCGCGAUUGAAUGAGCCGAUGUCGGAUUAGCUAGUUGGCGGGGUAAAGGCCCACCAAGGCGACGAUCCGUAGCUGGUCUGAGAGGAUGAUCAGCCACACUGGAACUGAGACACGGUCCAGACUCCUACGGGAGGCAGCAGUGGGGAAUAUUGGACAAUGGGCGCAAGCCUGAUCCAGCCAUACUGCGUGGGUGAAGAAGGCCUUCGGGUUGUAAAGCCCUUUUGUUGGGAAAGAAAAGCAGCAGGUUAAUACCCCGCUGUUCUGACGUUACCCAAAGAAUAAGCACCGGCUAACUUCGUG